rnacentral:misc_RNA from 1 species
AACGCACCUUGCGCUCCCUGGUAUUCCGGGGAGCAUGCCUGUUCGAGUGUCAUUACACUCUCAAGCCAGAUGGUUUCUUAUGAAUUCAUCUUGGUUUGGAUUUGGACUUUGCUGUGACUCUUGAAGGCAUAGCUGGUCUUAAAUAGAGUAGCUGGCCCAUUUGAAGGCUUGGUUCUACUUGGCGUGAUAAUUAUCUGGCGUCAAGGACAUUCUUUAGGGAGUGGCCAAUCUUUGUCUGGACUGCUUCUAACUGUCUUAGGACAAAUUUACUUACUGACAUCUGACCUCGAAUCAGGUAGGACUACCCGCUGAACUUAA